AACGAACGCUGGCGGCAUGCCUAACACAUGCAAGUCGAACGAGACCUUCGGGUCUAGUGGCGCACGGGUGCGUAACGCGUGGGAACCUGCCCUUAGGUUCGGCAUAACUCCCCGAAAGGGGUGCUAAUACCGGAUAAUGUCUUCGGACCAAAGAUUUAUCGCCUUUGGAUGGGCCCGCGUUGGAUUAGCUAGUUGGUAGGGUAAAAGCCUACCAAGGCGCCGAUCCAUAACUGGGCUGAGAGGAUGAUCAGCCACACUGGGACUGAGACACGGCCCAGACUCCUACGGGAGGCAGCAGUGGGGAAUAUUGGACAAUGGGCGAAAGCCUGAUCCAGCAAUGCCGCGUGAGUGAUGAAGGCAUUAGGGUUGUAAAGCUCUUUUAACCGGGAUGAUAAUGACAGUACCGGGAGAAUAAGCUCCGGCUAACUCCGUG
rnacentral:rRNA from 1 species